rnacentral:rRNA from 1 species
GGACCCGCACAAGUAGUGGAGCAUGUGGUUUAAUUCGAUGAUACGCGAGGAACCUUACCAGGGCUUAAAUGUAAGUUGCAUUAGUUAGAGAUAGCUAUUUCUUCGGACCACUUACAAGGUGCUGCAUGGUUGUCGUCAGCUCGUGCCGUGAGGUGUCAGGUUAAGUCCUAUAACGAGCGCAACCCCUGUUGUUAGUUGCCAGCGAGUCAUGUCGGGAACUCUAACAAGACUGCCGGUGCAAACCGUGAGGAAGGUGGGGAUGACGUCAAAUCAUCACGGCCCUUACGUCCUGGCUACACACGUGCUACAAUGGUCGGUACAGAGGGCAGCUACCGGGUGACCGGAUGCG